CGCGGGAUGGAGCAGCACGGUAGCUCGUCGGGCUCAUAACCCGAAGGUCGUAGGUUCAAAUCCUGCUCCCGCAA
rnacentral:tRNA from 13 species